CCGCCGUCCCUCGCCAUGGCCCUGCCGUGCCCGGACGCCGCCCGGCCCGCGGAGCGCAGCGCGCCCGCUCCGCCCGCCCAGACUAAACACCCUCAGCUCCCUCAGCCACCCUUCACUGGACUGACACUCUAGAUCCUUCACCAUCUCCUUUGCUCUUCCCUGCAUACACCUCGAUAUCUUUCCUGAAUUUGGGGGCCCAGAACUGGACACAGGAUUUGAGAUGUGGCCUCAGCAGUGCCCAGCACAGAGGGACAAUCUCUGCCCUGGUCCUGCUGGCCACACUAUUCCUGCUACAGGCCAGAUGCCAUUGGCCUUCCUGGCCACCUGGGCACCCCUGGCCUCGUGUCAGCCACAAUUCAGACCAAUGGAUACGGGGUCCCACCCUGUUACUGAGAUGCUGUUGGAAGGAAGGAGCCUGCACCCUUCAGUGUGUAACAGGGUUGGUGAAGAGGCUGUUCCGACCUGCAUCACAACCUUCACACCUAUCACAGGUCUGAAGGUUAAUAAUGAUUGUCUUUGUUUGUUCUA